rnacentral:lncRNA from 1 species
UAAGCUUUUAGAAGGGAAAAGUAAUUUCAUAUUUUUAAGAUUUAAGUGAGUUGCUUUUAGAGCACCUAAUUUGUGACUAUUCAUAUGAGAAAUAAAACCUCAAAAAUACAGCUUUAAAUAAGUUUAAACAAACAUGAGAUAUUCAGAGCUUCAUUCAAAAUCAGGUGAUUAAAUUGUGAUUAUUGUAGAUAAUUAAAGACACAGAAGACAAAAAUGUGAAUCACCCAAAUACUGUAUUCAUAAAAAAUACAAGCCAGCAUUUUGAGGUCUACUCUUAAACUUUUUCUAUGCUGGAAAUAUCUAGCUGUACAUUUUGUCUUGUGAAAAUAGAACGGCAUUGUACUUAUUUGUCUGUAAUUUGAAAGCCUAAGAGCCUGGCUUUUAUGUCGGACACACUUGGAUUCUAGUUUCCCCUCUCAGUCCUAUUUCCAAAGGUGUAUUUUGAAGCCUGUCUGAGCUUCCACUCCCUUAAGUGAAAAAAGAACAGAAUAAAAGCACCUCUAGCAAAGGACCAUUUUCAGACCAGGAGAUAUC